rnacentral:rRNA from 1 species
AUGCAAGUCGGACGGCAGCACAGAGAAGCUUGCUUCUCGGGUGGCGAGUGGCGAACGGGUGAGUAACAUAUCGGAACGUACCGAGUAGUGGGGGAUAACUGAUCGAAAGAUCAGCUAAUACCGCAUACGUCUUGAGAGAGAAAGCAGGGGACCUUCGGGCCUUGCGCUAUUCGAGCGGCCGAUAUCUGAUUAGCUAGUUGGUGGGGUAAAGGCCUACCAAGGCGACGAUCAGUAGCGGGUCUGAGAGGAUGAUCCGCCACACUGGGACUGAGACACGGCCCAGACUCCUACGGGAGGCAGCAGUGGGGAAUUUUGGACAAUGGGCGCAAGCCUGAUCCAGCCAUGCCGCGUGUCUGAAGAAGGCCUUCGGGUUGUAAAGGACUUUUGUCAGGGAAGAAAAGGCUGUUGCUAAUAUCAGCGGCUGAUGACGGUACCUGAAGAAUAAGCACCGGCUAACUACGUGCCAGCAGCCGCGGUAAUACGUAGGGUGCGAGCGUUAAUCGGAAUUACUGGGCGUAAAGCGGGCGCAGACGGUUACUUAAGCAGGAUGUGAAAUCCCCGGGCUCAACCCGGGAACUGCGUUCUGAACUGGGUGACUCGAGUGUGUCAGAGGGAGGUAGAAUUCCACGUGUAGCAGUGAAAUGCGUAGAGAUGUGGAGGAAUACCGAUGGCGAAGGCAGCCUCCUGGGACAACACUGACGUUCAUGCCCGAAAGCGUGGGUAGCAAACAGGAUUAGAUACCCUGGUAGUCCACGCCCUAAACGAUGUCAAUUAGCUGUUGGGCAACCUGAUUGCUUG